AGAGCGAACGCUGGCGGCAGGCUUAACACAUGCAAGUCGAGCGGGCGUAGCAAUACGUCAGCGGCAGACGGGUGAGUAACGCGUGGGAACGUACCUUUUGGUUCGGAACAACACAGGGAAACUUGUGCUAAUACCGGAUAAGCCCUUACGGGGAAAGAUUUAUCGCCAAAAAGAUCGGCCCGCGUCUGAUUAGCUAGUUGGUGAGGUAACGGCUCACCAAGGCGACGAUCAGUAGCUGGUCUGAGAGGAUGAUCAGCCACAUUGGGACUGAGACACGGCCCAAACUCCUACGGGAGGCAGCAGUGGGGAAUAUUGGACAAUGGGCGCAAGCCUGAUCCAGCCAUGCCGCGUGAGUGAUGAAGGCCCUAGGGUUGUAAAGGCUCUUUUGUGCGGGAAGAUAAAUGACGGUACCGCAAGAAUAAGCCCGGCUAACUUCGCGCCAGCAGCCGC
rnacentral:rRNA from 1 species